GGAUUGAAGAACCACCAUCCUCUGACCUUUGGAUAAGAUCGAAGGACAAAGAAAGCAUGAAAAAGAGAAGGAUGAGGUUCAAUCGGCAACAACCAACAUAACAAAACAAAAUUGAUUAUCAGUCGAACUGAGUUUGGGGCCAGUAGAGCAGGACAAAGACCAUAAUAAUCUAAAAUAUUUCGAACAAACUUCGAGAUCGAAAAUCGAAGAUCCGCCCAAAGAUUUUUAACAUAAAAAGCCACC
rnacentral:lncRNA from 1 species